CUGGCUGGGGGAGAAGAGGAAAAUGUGUUCCAGAAGGAACUGUCUGA
rnacentral:snoRNA from 1 species